rnacentral:rRNA from 1 species
ACACAUGCAAGUCGACUCGAGUCUUCGGACUUGGGUGGCGCACGGGUGAGUAACGCGUAAAGAACUUGCCUCUUAGACCGGGACAACAUCUGGAAACGGAUGCUAAUACCGGAUAUUAUGGUUUUUUCGCAUGGAGGAAUCAUGAAAGCUAGAUGCGCUAAGAGAGAGCUUUGCGUCCCAUUAGCUAGUUGGUGAGGUAACGGCCCACCAAGGCAAUGAUGGGUAGCCGGCCUGAGAGGGUGAACGGCCACAAGGGGACUGAGACACGGCCCUUACUCCUACGGGAGGCAGCAGUGGGGAAUAUUGGACAAUGGACCACAAGUCUGAUCCAGCAAUUCUGUGUGCACGAUGACGUUUUUCGGAAUGUAAAGUGCUUUCAGUCGGGAAGAAGUCAGUGACGGUACCGACAGAAGAAGCGACGGCUAAAUACGUGCCAGCAGCCGCGGUAAUACGUAUGUCGCAAGCGUUAUCCGGAUUUAUUGGGCGUAAAGCGCGUCUAGGCGGCAAGGAAAGUCUGAUGUGAAAAUGCGGAGCUCAACUCCGUAUGGCGUUGGAAACUGCCUUACUAGAGUACUGGAGAGGUAGGCGGAACUACAAGUGUAGAGGUGAAAUUCGUAGAUAUUUGUAGGAAUGCCGAUGGGGAAGCCAGCCUACUGGACAGAUACUGACGCUAAAGCGCGAAAGCGUGGGUAGCAAACAGG